AGACGAAAGCAGAUUCGGUUGAUCAGUCCAGGGCCUUCCCUGCCAAGAUACUGGAUUGGAAGCCUUCCCUCCACUCAGCUGAUGAGACUCGAAGUCUCUUCUUGUGACAGAAUGGUCUAGUUUAGCCUUUUGAAGCGUGAAGUUUCUAAGCACGGCCCCACUCAGAAAUGGAUGACCGCAUCCAAGUCACUGGUGGGGAGAGGAGAAUGGACGACGGACGAUGGAUGAUGGACAAUGGACACUUCACAGUGGCCAGCGAACAGGGUUUCUCUGUAUAGCACUGGCUGUCCUGGAAUCUGGGAUUAAAGGCGUGCGCCACCACUGCCCGGCUCAUAUUUUCUUUGUGGUGUUUUUGUUUGUGUUUUUACAAGGAGGCAAGAGGUCAACAUUGUGUGUCUUCCUCAACCACUAUCCAUAUAUGUCUUACAAAGCUCAAGCUGGCCUCAAAUUCAUCAUGAAGUCAAGCAUGGCAUUAAAUGGCUCCUUCUGCCUCCAAGAACCCCCAGGUACCAGGAUGCCAGUACAUGAACCACAGAGCAUGGUAGAGCAAUGGCUUCAUGGAACCCACCAGGAGUGCUCCUGAUUCAGUGCUGCUAACCUCCCAGGAUUCAGUCCCAUUGCGGGCGGGCCUCGUGCUAAGCGAUCUCAACACUGACGUUACACACGAGGAAGGAGACAAAGAGUGUGGAUGUUCACGUCCAAGUCUCAAAAGCCAGAGGCUAUGGCUGUCUUCUAUAAUCCCGCAGCACAGCCCUGCUGUAUCACUGGGAAAUUAUGUGCUGGUGUCUCCCUUCAAAUAAAGUUUUAUUGAAACACAAA